rnacentral:snRNA from 15 species
AUAUAAUAUAUCACUGUCAGGGCCUUACAAAAGACCCAGUGAACAAUUUUUGCAAACCCUGUCUUCUUGAAGGCGGGG